UACGGAGGAUGCAAGCGUUAUCCGGAUUUAUUGGGUUUAAAGGGUGCGUAGGCGGAAGAUUAAGUCAGUAAUGAAAUCCUACAGCUUAACUGUAGAACUGUUAUUGAUACUGGUUUUCUUGAAUACAGUUGAGGCAGGCGGAAUGUGUAAUGUAGCGGUGAAAUGCUUAGAUAUUACACAGAACACCGAUUGCGAAGGCAGCUUGCUAAACUGUGAUUGACGCUGAGGCACGAAAGCGUGGGUAGCAAACAGGAUUAGAUACCCUGGUAGUCCACGCUGUAAACGAUGAUCACUCGCUGUUGGCGAUAUAUUGUCAGCGGCUGAGCGAAAGCAUUAAGUGAUCCACCUGGGGAGUACGGUCGCAAGAUUGAA
rnacentral:rRNA from 1 species